GAGUAAAGAUUUCGGUCGCUUUGGGAGGAGCUCGCUUACUAUCAGCUUGUUGGUAGGGUAAUGGCCUACCAAGGCUAUGACGGUUAGGGGGUGUGAGAGCAUGACCCCCAGCAUUGGCACUGAAACACUGGCCAAACACCUACGGGUGGCUGCAGUCGAGAAUCUUCCACAAUGGGGGAAACCCUGAUGGAGCGAUGCUGCGUGCGGGAUGAAGGCCUUCGGGUUGUAAACCGCUUUUGUAGGGGACGAAAUUUUUGACGGUACCCUUUCGAAUAAGAGGUUGCUAACUCUGUGCCAGCAGCAGCGGUAAUACAGAGACCUCAAGCGUUAUUCGGAUUUACUGGGCGUAAAGCGUCUGUAGGGGGUUUAUUAAGUUCCAAGUAAAAUUUCAAGGCUCAACUUUGAAUUCGCUUGGAAAACUAAUAAACUGGAGUCUAGCAGAGGUGCAUGGAACUUGUGGUGUAGGAGUGAAAUCCGUUGAUAUCACAAGGAACACCAAAGGCGAAGGCAUUGCACUGGGCUAGCACUGACCCUGAGAGACGAAAGCGUGGGGAGCAAAACGGAUUAGAUACCCGUGUAGUCCACGCCCUAAACGAUGAAUGCUAAAUGUUCGGGGAUUCGACCCCCUGGGUGUUACAGCUAACGCGUUAAGCAUUCCGCCUGGGAAGUACGGCCGCAAGGCUAAAACUCAAAGGAAUAGACGGGGAUCCGCACAAGCGGUGGAGCGUCUGGUUUAAUUCGACAGUAAGCGUGGUACCUCACCAGGGUUUGACAUCCCUUGACAGCCUUGGAAACAAGGUUUCCUUCGGGCAAGGUGACAGGUGCUGCAUGGUCGUCGUCAGUUCGUGCCGUGAGGUGUUCCGUUAAGUCGGGAAACGAACGAAACCCCUAUUGCAUGUUACAAUUUCUCGUGCAAGACUGCCCGGAUAUACUGGGAGGAAGGUGGGGAUGACGUCAGAUCUGCAUGGUCCUUAUACCCUGGGCGACACAGGCGCUACAAUGGCAGAGACAAAGGGUUGCAAAACCGCAAGGUGAAGCUAAUCCCAAAAACUUUGUCUAAGUUCGGAUUGAAGGCUGCAAUUCGCCUUCAUGAAGCUGGAAUCGCUAGUAAUCGUGAAUCAGCCACGUCACGGUGAAUAUGUUCCCGGAUCUUGUACUCACCGCCCGUCACACCAAGAGAGUUGGUAGCUCCCGAAG
rnacentral:rRNA from 1 species